UCAAGCUCCGGUUCUCAAACGAUCACCGAACUUAAGCAACGUCGGGCCUGUACAGUACCUAGAUGAGUGACUGCUUAGGAAUACCAGGUGAUUG